GAGCAGCCCUUGGGCGUGGAGGGGGCAGUGGCGCCAUUUUGUUUGCCGUGUGGGCCGGGGAACCUGAGGCGGAGUGCCGGGGGAAGGAGCCUUGGAGCGGGGCCCGGGCAGGGUCUGUCCGGCGGGAAGAAGAACCAGAUGCAUUCAGAAAUCCUGUGUACAAGCUGAUGCUGCACUACACCUCAUGAACUGCAAAGCAGCAUAAGGCAGCUGGAGCUUCUAGAUCCUGGUUAGAGCAUUUUGUGUAUGAGCGAAAAGUCUUCUUGGAUAAUUAAGACUGUGUCUAAAAUCACAGUUACAGUAUGCUGAUCUAUAAGGAAACUCAGAGAGAAGAUUUAAAAGGAUUUGGAAUGGAAGAUCACUAGACUCUAUAGUGAUGCCAUCUCCAUCAUGCCACUCACAAGAGCACCAAAGAUACUUCCAGUUCUUCAUUUGCUAAAGAAACUUCCUCAGCCUUUGCAUUCUCCACCAGACAACACACCCUGUCCUCCCACCAGCAUCAAGCAACCAAUCUCUGAACAGCAAAACAGGAUCAACAUCUUGGGAAGCAGCACACUUGCCAGGAGCCCCAGGAAGCCCCUCAGGCAGGAGCUGCACUUGGGAAGCCACAGCCUGUCGGGGUAGGAGAGCACACGGUUCCGGAUGCAGAGGCAGGAUGAAAAGCAGCAUUAGAAACCAGCUGCCACAGACUGGGGGUGUUCUCCUCAGGUGGGCAGAGAGAUAGAAACCCUUUCAUCCCUCAGUCCAGGUUAGAGUGUAAAUGUUUUUAUUGCCUGCUUAGCCACCUGUGGAAAUCUGUGUCCAUGUCAACACCGUCAUUAUAUUGAACUCUGCUCUUGUCAGCACAAAAAUCCUGCCUGCUUUUCAGUCCAGAACUAUACUUCUAGUGAUAUAAGAAUGUCAGAUUAUAAUGCCAUCAAUUUGUCUUAUUCCACAGCUAAACAGAAUUCAUCGCUGUUACCUGAUGCUUCUGUGUUAGUGAAAAUAAUCCUUUUUUUAAAAAAAAAGUACAUAAAUACUUUGUGCACCAAAAGAGCACUUGGUACUGCUGGUUUAUGAGGUCUUCACUUUGCACAGCUCCUCUGUUGUGGAAACAGAAGUCCUUGUAUUGGGCUUUCUCAGUGAUAUUUGCAAACUCCUACACUUGCUGUAACAGGGUGUUCAGAAACAGUUCUUACUGGCCUGAGAAAGUUAGCUCAUUGUUUAUUUACUGCAGAAAUACAUUGAAGAAAACAAUAACAAGGUAAAAGAACAUUCUUGCAAAGGCUUGUUGCUUGUUUUGACAUAAACAGAAAGUAAUUAAACCUAGCUAACACCUUUUCACUGAGCAUUUUGCUCCAAAGCAUUUAUAAUUCACACUCUGCAGGACCGGGAACAGAACAGCAGAACCACCAGUGCAACACUGUCAGCAUAAGGAAAGGCUGUCCCUGAAAUUCAGUGGACAAAUACUAGCAGGCAAUUUCAUGCUUUACCAACACAAAAUCCAGAAGUUAAAUUUAGAAACAUGAUUUCUGCAGACAUUCAGAUGUUUCUGGUCUAAAUUUUCCAGAAAUUGCAAAUUAAAACUUGGCAGACCUUAAAGUAACCCAGCACGUGUCUUGUGCAAUCCAAAUCAUGGUUGGUCCUAUUACUCUGCAAAACUGUUAGGGGAAAAAAAUCAUGCCUUUCACCACAUGGUUUCAGACAAAUGACAGAGACAUUCAGUUUAUCUCUGUGCUAAGAACAAAACUUAAGUAACUGUUUUUUCCUCUUGGAAUAUUGCCAUGGGAAUUAAAAGCUAACAGAGGAACCAACGUUCUGCCCACUGAAGGAUAAGCACAGUUUGGUGAAUAAAUAACAUCACUUACAGAACUGCA